CCUAGUAAGCGCGAGUCAUC
rnacentral:siRNA from 1 species